CGSAUUUCAGUCKUUUCUGUAUMUGCAGUCGACGAUGAUCCGGUGCUUGCAUCGGGGAUUAGUGGCGAACGGGUGAGUAACACGUGAGUAACCUGCCCUUGACUCUGGGAUAAGCCUGGGAAACCGGGUCUAAUACUGGAUACGACCUAUCACCGCAUGGUGUGUGGGUGGAAAGAUUUAUUGGUUUUGGAUGGACUCGCGGCCUAUCAGCUUGUUGGUGRGGUAAUGGCUUACCAAGGCGACGACGGGUAGCCGGCCUGAGAGGGUGACCGGCCACACUGGGACUGAGACACGGCCCAGACUCCUACGGGAGGCAGCAGUGGGGAAUAUUGCACAAUGGGCGCAAGCCUGAUGCAGCGACGCCGCGUGAGGGAUGAAGGCCUUCGGGUUGUAAACCUCUUUCAGUAGGGAAGAAGCGAAAGUGACGGUACCUGCAGAAGAAGCGCCGGCUAACUACGUGCCAGCAGCCGCGGUAAUACGUAGGGCGCAAGCGUUAUCCGGRAUUAUUGGGCGUAAAGAGCUCGUAGGCGGUUUGUCGCGUCUGCCGUGAAAGUCCGGGGCUUAACCCCGGAUCUGCGGUGGGUACGGGCAGACUAGAGUGCAGUAGGGGAGACUGGAAUUCCUGGUGUAGCGGUGAAAUGCGCAGAUAUCAGGAGGAACACCGAUGGCGAAGGCAGGUCUCUGGGCUGUAACUGACGCUGAGGAGCGAAAGCAUGGGGAGCGAACAGGAUUAGAUACCCUGGUAGUCCAUGCCGUAAACGUUGGGCACUAGGUGUGGGGGACAUUCCACGUUUUCCGCGCCGUAGCUAACGCAUUAAGUGCCCCGCCUGGGGAGUACGGCCGCAAGGCUAAAACUCAAAGGAAUUGACGGGGGCCCGCACAAGCGGCGGAGCAUGCGGAUUAAUUCGAUGCAACGCGAAGAACCUUACCAAGGCUUGACAUGAACCGGAACAGUGCAGAGAUGCGCUGGCCACUUGUGGCCGGUUUACAGGUGGUGCAUGGGUUGUCGUCAGCUCGUGUCGUGAGAWGKUGGGUUAAAGUCCCGCAAMCGAGCGCAACCCUCGUUCMAKGUUGCCAKGCGGUUAUGCCCGGGGGACUCAUGGAGAGACUGCCGGUUCACCUCGAGAAGUKGGACGAACGUCCAAUCUCCAAUGCCCCCCAUUAWG
rnacentral:rRNA from 1 species